CCUACGGGAGGCAGCAGUGGGGAAUCUUGCGCAAUGGGGGAAACCCUGACGCAGCGACGCCGCGUGCGGGAUGAAGGCCUUCGGGUUGUAAACCGCUUUCAGCAGGGACGAAAUUGACGGUACCUGCAGAAGAAGGCCCGGCCAACUACGUGCCAGCAGCCGCGGUAAUACGUAGGGGCCUAGCGUUGUCCGGAUUUAUUGGGCGUAAAGAGCUCGUAGGCGGUUCGGUAAGUCAGGUGUGAAAUCUCCACGCUCAACGUGGAGGCGCCACCUGAAACUGCCGUGACUCGAGUCCGGUAGGGGAGUGUGGAAUUCCCGGUGUAGCGGUGAAAUGCGCAGAUAUCGGGAGGAACACCAGUAGCGAAGGCGGCACUCUGGGCCGGUACUGACGCUGAGGAGCGAAAGCGUGGGGAGCGAACAGGAUUAGAUACCCCAGUAGU
rnacentral:rRNA from 1 species